GACGAACGCUGGCCGUGUGCUUAACACAUGCAAGUGGUGCGACGAACCAGAGCUUGCUCUGGGGCAAAGCCGCGAACGGGUGAGUAACACGUGGGUAAUCUACCCCGAUGACCGGGACAACCCGAGGAAACUCGGGCUAAUACCGGAUGUGGUGCGGAGACAUAAGUCUCUUCACUAAAGGUAGCUUCGGCUUCCGCAUUGGGAGGGGCCCGCGGCCCAUUAGCUUGUUGGUGGGGUCAAGGCCUACCAAGGCAACGAUGGGUAGCUGGUCUGAGAGGACGAUCAGCCACACUGGGACUGAGACACGGCCCAGACUCCUACGGGAGGCAGCAGUGGGGAAUCUUGCGCAAUGCGCGAAAGCGUGACGCAGCAACACCGCGUGAGGGAAGAAGGCCUUAGGGUUGUAAACCUCUUUCAGAUGGGACGAAGGUUCUCCGGUGAAUAGCCGAGAGGAUUGACGGUACCGUCAGAAGAAGCUCCGGCUAACUACGUG
rnacentral:rRNA from 1 species